rnacentral:rRNA from 1 species
AAAGGAAUAGACGGGGAUCCGCACAAGUGGUGGAGCAUGUGGUUUAAUUCGACGGUAAGCGAGGCACCUCACCAAGGUUUGAAAUCUAGCUGGAGAUCUUAGAAAUAAGAAGUCCUUCGAGGCCGCUAGACCAGGUGCUGCAUGGUUGUCGUCAGCUCGUGUCGUAAGAUGUUCCGUUCAGUCGGGAAACGAGCGCAACCCCUGUGAAGUGUUAUAUAUGUCACUUCAGACUGCCCUCUCAUUUGGAUACAAUGUGAAAGCAUUGCGAACAGAUGAGAGGGAGGAAGGCGGGGAUGACGUCAAAUCAGCAUGGCCCUUUGACACCUUGGGCGACACACGUGCUACAAUGGCCGGAAUAAAGGGUCGCCAAAUCGCAAGAUGGAGCCAAUCCCAAAAAUUCGGUCUCAGUUCGGAUUGAAGGCUGCAACUCGCCUUCAUGAAGCUGGAAUCACUAGUAAUCGUUGAUCAGCCACGCAACGGUGAAUGCGUUCUCGGAUCUUGUACACACCGCCCGU